UACGGAGGGUGCGAGCGUUAUCCGGAAUUACUGGGUUUAAAGGGUGCGUAGGCGGCCAUGUAAGUCAGGAGUGAAAGUUUGCGGCUCAACCGUAAAAUUGCUUUUGAUACUGCAUGGCUGGAAUCAGGAUGAGGUCAGCGGAAUGUGGCAUGUAGCGGUGAAAUGCAUAGAUAUGCCAUAGAACACCAAUUGCGAAGGCAGCUGGCCAGACCUGUAUUGACGCUGAGGCACGAAAGCGUGGGGAGCGAACAGG
rnacentral:rRNA from 1 species